rnacentral:hammerhead_ribozyme from 1 species
UUUUAACUGACUUGUCCCAGAUAGAACGAAACGCGCUUCCUAGAU